CCUACGGGUGGCAGCAGUGAGGAAUAUUGGUCAAUGGGCGCAAGCCUGAACCAGCCAAGUAGCGUGAAGGAUGACUGCCCUACGGGUUGUAAACUUCUUUUAUAAAGGAAUAGAGUGAGACACUUGUGCCUUUUUGUGUGUCCUUUAUGAAUAAGGAUCGGCUAACUCCGUGCCAGCAGCCGCGGUAAUACGGAGGAUCCGAGCGUUAUCCGGAUUUAUUGGGUUGAAAGGGAGCGUAGAUGGGUUGUUAAGUCAGUUGUGAAAGUUUGCGGCUCAACCGUAAAAUUGCAAUUGAUACUGGAAGUCUUGAGUACAGGUGAGGUAGGCGGAAUUCGGGGUGUAGCGGUGAAAUGCUUAGAUAUCACGAAGAACUCCGAUUGCGAAGGCAGAUUACUAAACUGCCACUGACAUUGAUGCUCGAAAGUGUGGGUAUCAAACAGGAUUAGAUACCCCGGUAGUC
rnacentral:rRNA from 1 species